AUUGAACGCUGGCGGCAUGCCUUACACAUGCAAGUCGAACGGUAACGGGCCUUCGGGUGCCGACGAGUGGCGAACGGGUGAGUAAUAUAUCGGAACGUGCCCAGUAGUGGGGGAUAGCCCGGCGAAAGCCGGAUUAAUACCGCAUACGACCUGAGGGUGAAAGCGGGGGAUCGCAAGACCUCGCGCUAUUGGAGCGGCCGAUAUCAGAUUAGCUAGUUGGUGGGGUAAAGGCCUACCAAGGCGACGAUCUGUAGCUGGUCUGAGAGGACGACCAGCCACACUGGGACUGAGACACGGCCCAGACUCCUACGGGAGGCAGCAGUGGGGAAUUUUGGACAAUGGGCGCAAGCCUGAUCCAGCCAUGCCGCGUGUGGGAAGAAGGCCUUCGGGUUGUAAACCACUUUUGUCAGGGAAGAAACGGUCUUUUCUAAUACAAGGGGCUAAUGACGGUACCUGAAGAAUAAGCACCGGCUAACUACGUG
rnacentral:rRNA from 1 species